rnacentral:rRNA from 1 species
UUGAACGCUGGCGGCAUGCCUAACACAUGCAAGUCGAACGGAAACGAUGGUAGCUUGCUACCAGGCGUCAAGUGGCGGACGGGUGAGUAACGCGUAGGAAUCUGCCCAGUAGCGGGGGAUAGCCCAGGGAAACUCGGAUUAAUACCGCAUACGCCCUACGGGGGAAAGCAGGGGAUCUUCGGACCUUGCGCUAUUGGAGAAGCCUGCGUCGAAUUAGCUAGUUGGUGGGGUAAAGGCCCACCAAGGCGACGAUCCGUAGCUGGUCUGAGAGGAUGAUCAGCCACACUGGGACUGAGACACGGCCCAGACUCCUACGGGAGGCAGCAGUGGGGAAUAUUGGACAAUGGGCGAAAGCCUGAUCCAGCCAUGCCGCGUGUGUGAAGAAGGCCCUAGGGUUGUAAAGCACUUUCAGUAGGGAGGAAAAGUUAGUCGUUAAUAACGGCUACCCCUGACGUUACCUACAGAAGAAGUACCGGCUAACUCCGUGCCAGCAGCCGCGGUAAUACGGAGGGUACGAACGUUAAUCGGAAUUACUGGGCGUAAAGCGCGCGUAGGCGGCCUGAUAAGUUGGAUGUGAAAGCCCUGGGCUAAACCUAGGAACUGCAUUCAAAACUGUCAGGCUAGAGUAUGGUAGAGGAUAGUGGAAUUUCCGGUGUAGCGGUGAAAUGCGUAGAGAUCGGAAGGGGAAUACCAGUGGCGAAGGCGGCCCCCUGGACUGAUACUGACACUGAAGGGCGAAAGCGUGGGGAGCGAACAGGAUUAGAUACCCUGGUAGUCCACGCCGUAAACGAUGUCUACUAUCCGUUGGGAGACUUGAUCUCUUAGUGGCGCAGCUAACGCGAUAAGUAGACCGCCUGGGGAGUACGGCCGCAAGGUUAAAACUCAAAUGAAUUGACGGGGGCCCGCACAAGCGGUGGAGCAUGUGGGUUAAUUCGACACAACGCGAAGAACCUUACCAGGUCUUGACAUCCUGAGAAUCCUUUAGAGAUAGAGGAGUGCCUUCGGGAAUUCAGUGACAGGUGCUGCAUGGCUGUCGUCAGCUCGUGUCGUGAGAUGUUGGGUUAAGUCCCGUAACGAGCGCAACCCUUGUCCUUAGUUGCCAGCACAUAAUGGUGGGAACUCUAAGGAGACUGCCGGUGACAAACCGGAGGAAGGUGGGGACGACGUCAAGUCAUCAUGGCCCUUACGACCUGGGCUACACACGUGCUACAAUGGCAAGUACAGAGGGCUGCAACCCCGCGAGGGGGAGCUAAUCCCACAAAACCGGUCGUAGUCCGGAGUGGAGUCUGCAACUCGACUCCAUGAAGUCGGAAUCGCUAGUAAUCGUGAAUCAGAAUGUCACGGUGAAUACGUUCCCGGGCCUUGUACACACCGC